rnacentral:tRNA from 2 species
AGGGCUUUAAGUUAAUUAAACUAUUAUCCUUCAAAGUUAAAAAUAUAAUUUUGUUAUAAGUCUUA